CCUACGGGAGGCAGCAGUGAGGAAUAUUGGUCAAUGGACGAGAGUCUGAACCAGCCAAGUAGCGUGCAGGAUGACUGCCCUAUGGGUUGUAAACUUCUUUUAUAUGGGAAUAAAAUGUUCCACGUGUGGGAUUUUGUAUGUACCGUAUGAAUAAGGAUCGGCUAACUCCGUGCCAGCAGCCGCGGUAAUACGGAGGAUCCGAGCGUUAUCCGGAUUUAUUGGGUUUAAAGGGAGCGUAGGUGGCUUGUUAAGUCAGUUGUGAAAGUUUGCGGCUCAACCGUAAAAUUGCAGUUGAAACUGGCAGUCUUGAGUACAGUAGAGGUGGGCGGAAUUCGUGGUGUAGCGGUGAAAUGCUUAGAUAUCACGAAGAACUCCGAUUGCGAAGGCAGCUUACUGGACUGCAACUGACACUGAGGCUCGAAAGUGUGGGUAUCAAACAGGAUUAGAUACCCUGGUAGUC
rnacentral:rRNA from 1 species